CGCACGAGAAGUGGAGCAUCCAUGAGUACAGUGGCGUACGGGUGAGUAACACGUGGAUUAUCUACCUUCUAGUGGGGAAUACCUCCGGGAAACUGGAGACAAUACCGCAUAAGCUCGUAAGAGGAAAGCAGCAAUGCGCUGGAAGAGGAGUCCGCGGCUGAUUAGCUAGUUGGCGGGGUAACGGCCCACCAAGGCGAAGAUCGGUAGCCGGCCUGAGAGGGCACACGGCCACACUGGCACUGAAACACGGGCCAGACUCCUACGGGAGGCAGCAGUGGGGAAUCUUGCACAAUGGAGGAAACUCUGAUGCAGCGACGCCGCGUGAGCGAUGAAGCCCUUCGGGGUGUAAAGCUCUUUCGACGGGAACGAUAAUGACGGUACCCGAAGAAGAAGCUGCGGCUAACUACGUGCCAGCAGCCGCGGUAAUACGUAGGCAGCAAGCGUUGUUCGGAAUUACUGGGCGUAAAGAGUGUGUAGGCGGUGCUCCAAGUCUGGUGUGAAAUCUCCCGGCUUAACUGGGAGGGUGCAUUAGAAACUGGAAUGCUAGAGGAUGGGAGAGGUAAGCGGAAUUCCUGGUGUAGCGGUGAAAUGCGUAGAUAUCAGGAGGAACACCUGUGGUGUAGACAGCUUACUGGACCAUUUCUGACGCUGAGACACGAAAGCGUGGGUAGCAA
rnacentral:rRNA from 1 species